rnacentral:tRNA from 1 species
AUUUAUAUAGCUUAAAUUUUAGAGUAUAAUAUUGAAGAUAUUAUGGUGAUAUAUAUUAUCUAUAAAUA